AUACGUAGGGUGCAAGCGUUAAUCGGAAUUACUGGGCGUAAAGCGUGCGCAGGCGGUUUUGUAAGACAGAGGGGAAAACCCCGGGAUCAACCUGGGAACUGCCUUUGUGACUGGAAGGGUAGAGUACGGCAGAGGGGGAUGGAAUUACGCGUGUAGCAGUGAAAUGCGUAGAUAUGCGGGGGAACACCGAUGGCGAAGGCAAUCCCCGGGGCCUGUACUGACGCUCAUGCACGAAAGCGUGGGGAGCAAACAGGAUUAGAUACCCGGGUAGUCCACGCCCUAAACGAUGUCAACUGGUUGUUGGGUCUUCAUUGACUCAGUAACGAAGCUAACGCGUGAUGUUGACCGCCUGGGGAGUACGGCCGCAAGGUUGAAACUCAAAGGAAUUGACGGGG
rnacentral:rRNA from 1 species